GACGACAGCCACGCUUUAGAUAGAAGGUCGUCAGGUAUGGCUUCGGAGUCUUCAGCAGGAAGAAGCGCUUGUUUCGUAUAGUUACGUUAACUGCAGUUGGUAGAAUAUUACCGAAGCCGUAUGCAGAGAACCAAACGGAUAGGUCAGUUCCUAGUCAAGCUAAGCUUGAUCCAGAUCCACCUCAUCAAAGAGAAUUCCCACCCCUUUUGAUCUCCAAGACUAUAAAAACAAGAAGGGGGAUAGUGUGGCGAGUGACUAUUGGCCCAGUCCACAGGAGUCCAUCUAAUAAUUUUCAGCAAGUGGACAACUUGCCAGCUUGCAUUCUGUCCACGCCCCGACCAUCUCUAUCUUCCUAUUUUACAUAUAUUGGUGUUACCCGGUCAUCCAAAUUCAUUAAUCCAAGGCAUUGCAUUGUUGGUGACGCUUCCUUGCAGGUUUUGCCCAAUGAUCAGAGGUGCUGCCCUGAUCGAUGUGCGCAUAGUGAUGCACUCUCUCCGGCGACAAAGUCAUCCUACUUCAUUGAUCCCAGACAUUUCAUUGCUGGUGACGCUUCCUUUCAAGGGCUGGGCUGCCUGGUGAUCAGAGCUGAGGACGGACUGUUUUACUCUUUUAUAGUUACGAAGGAAAGCCCAAACUUUUUAGAAAUUCACUUUGGAAUAUUACUCCUGUGCAAUAAUAUAUAUAGCUCCAAGUUUAGAAAUUCAA